AAUGAACGCUGGCGGCGCGCCUAAUACAUGCAAGUCGAGCGAGAAGACGUAGCAAUACGUUUGUAAAGCGGCGAACGGGUGAGGAAUACAUGGGUAACCUACCCUGGAGUGGGGAAUAACUAGCCGAAAGGUUAGCUAAUACCGCGUACGCUCCUUGGACUUCGGUUCAGGGAGGAAAGCGAUGCCGAGGGUAUCGCGCUCUUGGAUGGGGCUCAUGUCCUAUCAGCUUGNGGUGAGGUAACGGCUCACCAAGGCUUCGACGGGUAGCUGGUCUGAGAGGACGAUCAGCCACACUGGGCACUGCGACACGGGGCCAGACUCCUACGGGAGGCAGCAGUAAGGAAUAUUGCGCAAUGGGCGAAAGCCUGACGCAGCGACGCCGCGUGGGGGAUGGAAGGUCUUCGGAUU
rnacentral:rRNA from 1 species